UGGAGAGCUCACCAUGGCCCUCCCUCCGUUCAUCCUUGCUGUUUUCCUUUACUGCUCAGGUGUCUCUUCACAGUCAGCUUGGACACAGCCUGCCUCUGAAUCUGUGACCCUGCGACAAACAGUGAAACUCCCCUGUACUACUCGAGAAACCGGCGGCAACUACAUUUAUUGGUACCAACAGCGACCAGGACAGGCCCCUCGCUAUGUUGACUGUGAGAGUUGCAGCAGGGGAGAAGGGAUCCCAGAUCGAUUCACUGCUUCCCGCUCUGGGACCAUGGGCUAUUUAACCAUCACCAACGUCCAGGCUGAAGACGAGGCUGUUUAUUACUGUGGCAGAUGGUAUAACAGUGCUAAUGCGUUCCAUGGUGACACAAACUGAUGGGGAAGUGUGACAAAAACCUUUUCUCUUCCACCAAAGAGCAAUGAGAUGUGAACGCUUAAAAAGAACUUCCUCUGCUUUGAGCUUGCAGCUGUUUUCAAGUCAUGGGCAGAUUUGCUUUAGCUGGCCAUGAAUGGCCAUACAGAUAACUUAAUCCACACAGAUCCCGCCACUGCAUGGCACAAACAGAGAGUGAACAGACCCAAAGCAAGUUCUUUGUAGAUCAGGACAGACCCUCCAAGUGUCCCUAUUUUCCAGGGUCAGUCCUGAAUCUACAAAAGC